GCUGGGGCUCAGUGGUAGGGUGCCUGUCUAGUAACAGGAGGCCUGGGUUUGAUCCCCAGAACCAGCC
rnacentral:tRNA from 1 species